GUUGAGAGGAGUUGCGAAUGAGUUGUGAAUGUGUUGAAAUGAAUUGUGAAAGAUUGUGAAAGAGUGCGAAAGUUUGUGUGAGAAAUUGUAGAGUGUUUGUAUAUCGAUAACAGUGAUCAGUCGUAUGUAACGAAUGAUAAUAGAAUAAAAUUUGAGAAAACUGAAAGCAUACAGUCCCAUUAUAUUCGAGAACCAUGCAUGCAUGUUAUGACCAAAAAUAUGUAUAAAGUAAACUGUGUAAAGAGUGCUAAAGUUUGUGUGAGAAAGUCAGGAAAUUGUAGAGUGUUUGUAUAUCGAUAACAGUGAUCAGUCAUAUGUAACGAAUGAUAAUAGAAUAAAAUUUGAGAAAACUGAAAGCAUACAGUCCCAUUAUAUUCAAG